rnacentral:rRNA from 1 species
UUAGAUACCCUAUUAUUGAAAAUGUAAAUUAUUUACUAGAGUAGUAUUAGUUAUGUUCUUGAAACUUAAAAAAUUUGGCGGUAUUUUAGUCUGUUUAGAGGAACCUGUGCCUUAAUCGAUAGUCCACGUUGGACCUUACUUGAUUUUGUUUUUCAAUUUGUAUAUCGCCGUUAUUUGAAGAUUUUUUUAGAAAAAUAAUUUUCAGGAUUUUUUAUUAAAGAUUAAAUCAGGUCAAGGUGCAGUUUAUGGUCAAGUGGUUAUGGGUUACAAUAAAUUUAUUUAUACGAAUUUAAAUUUGAAAAGAUUUUUUGAAGGUGGAUUUAAUAGUAAAUUUUUAAAGAUUAAAGAUUUGAUUUUAGCUCUAAAAUAUGCACACAUCGC